AAUCACUUUAUCCCUCUACCUGCUCAUCAUCCCUUGGGUUUUUUUACCAAAAUGGACUUGCCCACUCUCUUCCCUUUCCUGUAAGCCCCAUGAAUCUCCAUCAUCAUAUGGACACUGGACAAGUUCUGGAAUCCUGACAUCAUCAUCAUAUGGGCACUGGACAAGUUCUGGAAUCCUGACAGACCAACCCUGAACUUAAGUUGUAGCUAUGUUAUCUGAAGCACUGAAAAACAUGUGAGUGCAACUAGGUGGUCAAGAACCAUCUGCUGAGUCAGAUUUGAGGUCUUUCCAAGAUCAUGAGGCCAUUUACUGUUUCAAGAAGUUCCCAUUUGCAUUUAUAAAUCAGUCAUAGAUAGGGGGUAGGCUUAUCACAUGGCUCAACAGCAACUACAAGAAGGAAAGAUGACAUUAAACUUCAAACAGAUAGAAGCUAUAACUCUUAAAAUGGGCUGAAAUAUGCUGGAGGAAGAAAUUUAAUCAAUUAGUCUUAUGAGAAGAUAAGCUGCCUAAUCAUGGAGGACGGAUUCCAGAGGACAAGCUGGAAUUGGAGAAUCAUACAGCAAAAAACUAUGUUUUCAAGAGAAAAGACUGUGAAAUAAGAUAUAAACAAUAAUACCUGUGAAGCACUUAUUGGGGGAACAGAGCAGAGGUCGCCUUGUCCUGAGUGGUAACUGAGCCAAUCGCCCAGAGAAGCUGGUAGAUUCCUGAAAACAAAGGUCCUGCUUCAGGAGAGUCACUUGGUAAUGAAAUGAUUGAGAACCAUUUUCCGGGACGCAGUCUUAAGAAAGCAAAGCAUUGCUGAGACCAUCUGGAUAGUAUACAUGACUGCAACCAAAGAAGGCCUCUAUUUAACCUUGUAAGAUUCUGGCAAGAGGGUGUGGAGAUCCACUCAUCUUGUGGCCACCCAGACAAGCUUCUGGAUAAUCCUUCUAUUUAUGGAAGAUACCCACCAAGUGAGAAAGAGAAAUGAGAAAAUAUAUCAUUGGGAGGGAAAAAAUGACAAAGCCAUUUGGAACCAGAUUAGCAAGUGCUCCCAGAGGAGAUUGACAUGGAAGUGGAGGAAGCAGCACAGCAAGAGGAAGAAGGCAGACAACUGUACAAUUUUAGACAAAAGACCCACAGAGAAUAAGGUUUAUCAUGAUUACACAAAGGGAUACUGGCUUUAACUUUUGCCUCAGAGUUGUCUAAAUCAGGCAAAUUUGCUGGGCUUUUCCCCAACUGGUUUCAGGUGAGUAAGCAAGGUCGUGGGAAGAAAGAUGGUGAGGGAAUAAAAAUGAACAGCAGGCACUUCUGGCUGCAGGCACCUGUUGGCAGAGUGGCCCCAACAGUCCAAGGGCGGUGGCCAGAAGAAUAUCUGCAGGUGCUAUUCUUUGAAGGUACACUAAAGGGGCUCCAUCCACACUAAUAAAAGUUUCGAAUCUAAGGGAACCUGGGCAGGACAGCUCUGCUACUUGUAAUAGAUGCCAUUAGGAUGUUGAGAAAAUGUAACCGACACAUAUAAGGCAGUCAUAUUACAACAUAAAAAGUAAAUAACUGUCACUGUAAGUCCAACAUAAAUUGAGAUCAUGGAGAUUUUUUACAUGGGCUGAAGGAGAUUGAACAGACUUGUUUGUGGAAGACGUUGACGUCAUAUAGAUUUCCAAAAAGCCAGAAGAUUUAACUGCAUGGAAGAGAAGAGAGGGCCUUUUUGAGUGGAUGAAAAAGCAAAAUUUUGCAGAUGGGAAAGCACACAUUGGGAAGGCAUGAGGAGUCCAGAAAUUUUGUUAGGGAGGAACUCCUGGGAAAAGGAAAGGCAGAUAGCCGUCAGACUACUCUGCCAACCUGACAUUGCUCUUUGCUAGUCCCACAGGAAGCUCUUGCGCAGUGAUCAUCCCUUAGAGCUUACUGUAUGGGCAGAAAUGGCUGCGCUUCUUACCUCAUCCUUAUCCAGUCAGUGAUACGCUAUCUCAACAAAAGCAUGACCUUGGCUAGAAAGCUAAGGAUUCUAAGCAAAGGUUAUGAUUGAAUGCAAGGUGUGAGAAGUUGUGGGAGCGUGUGACACAAUAUCCUUGACCUGUAGGGAUGGAAUAGGAACCACAUUUGUAAUCAUGAGAAAUAUUAGAAAUUGUGAGAAACAUUCCUUGGAUCUGUCCUCUUUGUUGAUAUUUGUUCUUGGAUCUCAAUCCUGGUAUCAUUCUUGAUGGCACUUAAUAAAUGAACACUAAAUGUGUUUCUUUUGAAUGAAUAGCUGAAUGAUCACAGGCAGUGAAUGUUUCUACAGCAAGGGUAUGGAAUGUUCCAGUGUUCAAGGUGAAUCAAAGACUACUGACUUGCCUGUGGACAAGUGACAGGGAAGCAAAAGUGGCUAAAAUGGAAAAUGGAAGAGUGCGGGACAAAUCUCACCUGCUUUGUCAUUUGACCUAAGACUAAUUCUGUUCCAAAAGAAGCAACUGACUUUAUGCACAUAUGACUUAUCUAUAAUUAACUAACAUUGUCAUCUUGGUUUAUUUGCCUGACUUUUGUGAGCAACAUAUUUCCACCAUAUGAAGUUGUAAGAAUUAAGAUAAAAUAUCAAUCUUGUUGA